AGAGUUUGAUCCUGGCUCAGGAUGAACGCUGGCGGCGUGCUUAACACAUGCAAGUCGAACGAAGCACUUAUCUUUGAUUCUUCGGAUGAAGAGGUUUGUGACUGAGUGGCGGACGGGUGAGUAACGCGUGGGUAACCUGCCUCAUACAGGGGGAUAACAGUUAGAAAUGACUGCUAAUACCGCAUAAGACCACGGAGCCGCAUGGCUCAGUGGGAAAAACUCCGGUGGUAUGAGAUGGACCCGCGUCUGAUUAGGUAGUUGGUGGGGUAACGGACUACCAAGCCAACGAUCAGUAGCCGACCUGAGAGGGUGACCGGCCACAUUGGGACUGAGACACGGCCCAAACUCCUACGGGAGGCAGCAGUGGGGAAUAUUGCACAAUGGGGGAAACCCUGAUGCAGCGACGCCGCGUGAGCGAAGAAGUAUUUCGGUAUGUAAAGCUCUAUCAGCAGGGAAGAAAAUGACGGUACCUGACUAAGAAGCACCGGCUAAAUACGUGCCAGCAGCCGCGGUAAUACGUAUGGUGCAAGCGUUAUCCGGAUUUACUGGGUGUAAAGGGAGCGUAGACGGCUGUGUAAGUCUGAAGUGAAAGCCCGGGGCUCAACCCCGGGACUGCUUUGGAAACUAUGCAGCUAGAGUGUCGGAGAGGUAAGUGGAAUUCCCAGUGUAGCGGUGAAAUGCGUAGAUAUUGGGAGGAACACCAGUGGCGAAGGCGGCUUACUGGACGAUGACUGACGUUGAGGCUCGAAAGCGUGGGGAGCAAACCAGGAUUAGAUACCCUGGUAGUCCACGCCGUAAACGA
rnacentral:rRNA from 1 species